rnacentral:rRNA from 1 species
UGGGGAAUAUUGCGCAAUGGGCGAAAGCCUGGCGCAGCGACGCCGCGUGGGUGAUGAAGGCCUUCGGGUCGUAAAGCCCUGUCGGGAGGGACGAAACCUCGGUGACCUAAUACGUCACCGACCUGACGGUACCUCUUAAGGAAGCACCGGCUAACUCCGCGCCAGCAGCCGCGGUAAUACGGAGGGUGCGAGCGUUAUCCGGAUUUACUGGGCGUAAAGGGUGCGCAGGCGGUCUUGCAAGUCAGAUGUGAAAGCCCCGGGCUUAACCUGGGAAUUGCGUUUGAAACUACAAGACUAGAGUGCAGCAGAGGGGAGUGGAAUUCCAUGUGUAGCAGUGAAAUGCGUAGAGAUGUGGAAGAACACCGAUGGCGAAGGCAGCUCCCUGGGUUGACACUGACGCUCAUGCACGAAAGCGUGGGGAGCAAACA